rnacentral:rRNA from 1 species
CAGCCGCCGCGGGAAUACAGAGGGUGCAAGCGUUAAUCGGAAUUACUGGGCGUAAAGCGAGCGUAGGUGGCUUGAUAAGUCAGAUGUGAAAUCCCCGGGCUUAACCUGGGAACUGCAUCUGAUACUGUUAAGCUAGAAUAGGUGAGAGGAAGGUAGAAUUCCAGGUGUAGCGGUGAAAUGCGUAGAGAUCUGGAGGAAUACCGAUGGCGAAGGCAGCCUUCUGGCAUCAUAUUGACACUGAGGUUCGAAAGCGUGGGUAGCAAACAGGAUUAGAUACCCCAGUAGUCCCUGUCUCUUAUAA